AAAAUAAUAGGGUCAUAUUAAACUCCGCGCAUAUAUUUAGUUAUACAUCCCGCGUUCUAGUGGUGACUCUCACUCUCAUUCAAGGACCGGCGCCGCUUUCAGAUCGACGUUGGCCGCACUCCGCCGACGGACAGGUAUUCGCCUGCUUGCCUUCAGCCUUCAGCCUUCUCUGAGUUCUCUCUCUUCGACAGUUCAAAACUUCAGUCUUCGCUGUGAGGGGUUAUUUAUUUACUUGGACAAACAAUCUCCCUCCUCCACCAAACAGCACCUUGUUGUUGUCUUCUGUGCUUCUCUGUCUUCUGUCAGAUUGAAAUCCACUUUGGUAGGGAUACCAAACAACCUUGAAGAGAUUUGGUGUUCUCUAGUUUGUAUUGGCCGGGAAGCAUUAUGGUGGAGAGGACUUGGCCUGCCCUUCAAUCUUGCAAGCAUCAGUGUUCUGAAGCAAACGAUCUACUGAGUCAAUUGCCAGAUGAUCUUCUGUUUUUUAUCAUGUCCUUCUUAACAUUGAAGGAAGCCGCAAGAACUAGUGUUCUUUCACAUAGAUGGAAUUAUUUGUGGCGAUGUUUGCCUGUCUUGAUCUUUGAAGAUUUCUCCGCAAUGGAGAGGAUGUUCAAAGAUGAUGAUUUUGUUUCCCAAGAAAGAUCAAGCUUUUUGAGGUGGGUGAAUCGAGUUGUGGAAGCUCAUCUUGGUAAAUAUGUAGAUGAGUUGAGGGUGACUUUUGAUUUCAACAAACGUUGUCAAUCUGAUAUAAAUAAGUGGCUGGUUUUUGCUGUAGCAAAACAUGUGAAAAGGCUUGAACUGAACUUCACAACACCCACUGGAUGUUACAAAUCUUCGCUUCCUAGAUGGCGUAUGUCUCUUGAUCAGCCUCAUAAUUUAUCCGUCUUUAAGUCUUCCCUACGUUCUUUGUCUCUCACUUACGUCUACGUAACUACAAAUGAUAUUGAUUGCCUUCUUAGUUCCUGCAUGGUCCUUGAGAAUUUGUGCAUAAAUAAUUCACGGCCUUUAAAAUAUAUAAGAGCUUUUGGUUUACCUCUGCAGCUAAAACACUUAGAGGUAUCUUACUGUCCCCGUUUGAGAACCAUUGAUAUUUUGGCCCCAAAACUUUUGUCAUUUACACAUCAUGGCAACCCUGUUGAGCUACAUAUUAGAAAUGCUUCUUUGCUUUCGAAGUUGUCACUUGGUAAUAUACGUUGUACAAGAGACAUUGUGGCAUGUGCUUUUGACUCCCUUUCAAAGUACUUUUCGCAGUUGGAGUAUUUGAGUUGGACGAUCGGAUUGUGCAUCGGGAGUAGUAUAUCGCUUACUUUCUGUGUCAAGUUUAAUUUAGGGAUUAAGAACCCACCUGCCAUGACAAACCUCAAGCAUCUAGAACUCCAUGUCACUGCGUUCUGUGAACAAAGCCUCCUUGGAUGGGCAGACUUGAUUGAGGCAUCUCCACUACUAGAAAGAUUGACUCUAAAGUUUUAGCUGGCAAUGCUAGAAAAACAACCGCCAAGGAAACAAGAAGUCAGUCUUUACAAAAUGGCAUCAGUAUGAAUAGUUUCCCAACUUCUAGGAACGGUUGAAACCACCCACUCUUCAUGUGCAUAAGCCUGACAAUACACCAAACACCACCAAUAGAAACUACACAAGAAUUAAAUGACUAUAAAAGCACCAACUACAUAAGAAGGAGGUCCCUGUCAGCAGCUUUGCAUGUGUAGGUAGCCUUAAACAGAAUACUUUGUAGAGUUGAUUAGCACCCUUCACCCUUGUUCCAAAAGUUUUAUCAUUCCCUCAAUCCAUAACCCAUAGACAGUUUCAGCAAAAAGAUUAAGGUAGACUUUGAGUUUUCUUUGCCAUUUUCACUGGGUUUUGAGUUUCAGUCUCAAAAGAGCCAACAGAUCUGGUCAUUUAAAAAAGUUUUAAGUGCAUCUUCCGAACAUCAACAGAGAAAGUGCAAGAGAAAAAGAGAUGUUGAACGCUUUCUAAAUCCAUUCCACACAAAGAGCAAGUUGGAUUUGAGAUUAUCCCCCACUUCAUGAGCCUAUCUUUGGUAGCUAGCCAUUCUGUCUUGCAGAGCCUUCCACAGAAUAAGAACAGAGAUGUGAAAGUUUUCCGCUUAUCAUGGAAAGCAUAGUAGGAAGAUAAUAAAAUGAAAUAGGCGCCCCCUCAAAAGCUUGAAGACACUAGAGCUUUAUAACGAUCUCGGACUUCCAAUUGAUCUUGAGUUUGCUACUUAUGUGAUUGAGAACUCCGUCAUGCUCAAAGAUGUGAUUGUUGAGCUUAAGCCUUUGUUUGGUCUACUUUCAGAACACAUUAGUGUGCAGGAUCAAGCUGCAAAACUUAAAAGUAUAGUGCCCCAAGGUGUGAAGUUAACUUUAAAAAUACUUAAAUAGUGGAUAUGUGAAGGGAAAACAUGUGACCUCCAUAAGGGUUGAUAAGCAUAUCUAUGAUCCACUCGCAAAGAUGUUAAUCGUUUCUCAUCAGAUGUAAGCGAGUUCUUUUCUUUUAGGGCUUGUCAUUUACCACAAGGUCCAUGUUAUGUUAUGUUAUUCCGACUGUAUAUACAGUGCACUUCGUAUUAUUUUUCUUGUUUUAAGUUUAUGUUUAGUUCUCUAAUUGCUUGGUGUA